rnacentral:lncRNA from 1 species
CACAGCCUUCCUUGUGCGGUCCCUAGAGGGGCUCCAGGCCGUGGGGGCUCUAGAAGGAUCCACAGGAGGCUGGGAGGAAGCCCUGGCCUGUCAGCUUCCCCAGGCAAACCUUCCCGGGGGCCUGGCCCCAGCGGCUGUAACCGGACUCCUGCUCCGGCCUCCGCAGCUGGCCCUGGGGAGGCCCAGCGCGGGGAGGCCCAGCCGCGGUCCCUGGCCCCUGGAAGGGGCGGGCCGAGGGGUCAGGGGGGCAGCGGGAGGCGCGGCGGGGGGUGCGGUGCGCUCCUCCUCGGGCCGGCACCCCCUGCACCCCCUGCACCCCCUGCGCCCCCUGCACCCCGGCGCCCGCGCAGCUGCCCGCGUCUGUCAGCCGCCCUGCGGGGCGCGGCCGGGGGCCGCUGGCCUCUACAUCUUCCUGACAGGCCCCUCUUCGGAGGCCAGGAAAAAACAACAGUCCCUCCCCUCGCGGCAGCCCAUUUGUUAGAUGAAGGCCGGGCACCGGCACCUUUAACCUCCUCAAAGUCAGCAUUUCCCCCUCCCGGCCCCGCGGGCCCCAGACAGAGAUGGAUGGAGGCGGCUGUUGGUGGAAGAAAGGCCCGUGGCUGCGCGGCCAAGGGGAGCAGGGCUUUCAGGAAGGGAGGGGACCCCGCUUCUGGUUGUUGUUGGGGUGGCAGGAGGAGGAAGAGGAAGAGCGUGCGUCAGGAGGAUGGUCGGCGGCCACACCUGAGCCAUCCCAAGGAACUUUCGGAAUUUCCCCCAUUGUGCGCGACAGGCAGGCGCGUCCUUGGCGCCACAGACCUGCUUCCGUGCGUGCGUGCUUGGCCACCCCACCCACCUGGGCCUGGAGCUGCAGGGCCACCGAGGGGAGCUUGGGGCCUGGGGGCAGAAGACUGGGCACAAGGUGGGGGGUCUCAGUCAAGUCACAUCCCUCUUCUGAGCCUCAGUUUCCCCACCGGCAAGAGAGAGAUGACAGUUUCAGCCUCAUGUGGCUGUUGGGGGAUAAAUGAACUGAUGUCUGUGACAAGACUUGGCUGA